UUAGCUCCCUACAUCUCCCUUCUCACACCUCCAUUCACACAUUCACACUCACACAUCUUCAUUGCAUUAAUGUAAUAAGUUUGUUAUGGCCUGUGUGGAUUCCUACACAAAUCAUACACUAGCUUCAACUCACAAUAGUUGUAGUAGAUCCACAUACACCAAUGCCACUACAAGUUGAACUAAUGAUUCACAGAGCCUACGAUUAUGAAGGUUUAGAUUCUACCUACACAUCUUGUGCUCUAGUAGGAACUAUUUAGCAAAAAAUGAGUUAUAGGAUUGA
rnacentral:lncRNA from 1 species